UACGUAGGGUGCGAGCGUUAAUCGGAAUUACUGGGCGUAAAGCGUGCGCAGGCGGUUUGUUAAGUCUGUUGUGAAAUCCCCGAGCUCAACUUGGGAAUUGCAAUGGAUACUGGCAGGCUGGAGUAUGGUAGAGGAAGGUGGAAUUCCCGGUGUAGCAGUGAAAUGCGUAGAGAUCGGGAGGAACACCGGUGGCGAAGGCGGCCUUCUGGACCAAUACUGACGCUCAUGCACGAAAGCGUGGGGAGCAAACAGG
rnacentral:rRNA from 1 species